rnacentral:rRNA from 1 species
ACGGAGGGUGCGAGCGUUGUUCGGAAUUAUUGGGCGUAAAGGGCGCGUAGGCGGUUGUGUAAGUCAGAUGUGAAAUACUCCGGCUUAACCGGGGAACUGCGUUUGAAACUACACAGCUAGAGUACAGGAGAGGGAAAUGGAAUUCCCGGUGUAGAGGUGAAAUUCGUAGAUAUCGGGAGGAACACCAGUGGCGAAGGCGAUUUUCUGGCCUGAUACUGACGCUGAGGCGCGAAAGCGUGGGGAGCAAACAG